UUCAUUUCUCUGAGUCUUACUGCGCUUCGUUCCUGAAACUCCUUAGGGUUUCGAAUGGCCCUGUUAUGGCGGUGUCUUCCUCCUUUACCUCCACUUCAAUCCCACACGCUUUCUUUUCGGAAACUAUCUGUGUCGGAACCCCUACUUUCCAGGAGAAGCCCCCUGAAGCUCUCCCCGGCGUCCAAAUUUUCCUCAUUCAGUCCUUGGUACUCAUCUCCCGCUAGCUUUCACUGUUGCCUGAGCUCGAGUUCUUCGAUUGAGUGUGAUAAAACCAGAAUCUUCAUAAAAGGGUUGCCGCUAACAACAUCUGAGAGAAUUUUGACCAAGGCAUUUUCACGGUUUGGAGAAGUUAGUAAAGUCAGAAUCAUUACAGAUAAAAAAUAUCGACAAUCUCUGGGAUUUGCAUAUCUUUGGUUUACUACUGAAGAGUCUGCUCAAUUGGCUAUUGAAGAGAUGAAUGGAAAGUUUUUUGAUGGUAGGUUCAUCUAUGUUACAAUUGCUAGGCCUGGACCUCCCAAAAACCAGGGCAUGGUGAAUGUUUAUGCAGAAUUCAACCGAAUAGCAUGGAUGCAACGACUUUGAAUGAAUUGGGAGCAAUCAUUCAAUUUUGUUUGACUAGAGACGUGUUGUAUCACGUCGUGGAUGAGAAUUCUCCGGCAUUAGUUUAUCGAAAACGAGAAUGCCGAUAUAUGUCUAAGGGUUCAUCAAAAUCUGCAAGUAUAGUGGAGGAAGACUCAGAAUGUAGUGAUGGAGAUAUGCUACAUGUUUCAUCGGGUUCGAAGUGCCUCAUGGGUAAUUCUUGGAUCUUAGUCACCAGGUUUUUUUAUCCGAGAAAAUAGUUUGACAUCUACAGGUGAUCCAGUUAGGCGAGCAGAUCGGGCUCGCAGAUAAAGAGGAUGAUUACACUACCCUUUUUGUAGGGUAAGUGUAUACAAGAGAUGGUAUUUUUGAGUAAAUGAUACUGGGGUUAUGUGUAUAUAUGUAUGUAUGGCUUGGGUAGAUUUACUGAAUUCUGGUAUUAUAAAUGUGGAUGUACAGUUUAUGUAUUCCGCUGCAUAGGUAUGUACAUGAUCAGGGAUUCCUCAGUGCUCACUUGGGGUCUGAGAUGUUAUAAUACAAGAGUAUCAGAGUAAUUUUAUUAUAAAAAAAUGGUAUAGAUUUUCGGGUUGUUA